AGUGAACGCUGGCGGUAGGCCUAACACAUGCAAGUCGAACGGCAGCACAGAGGAGCUUGCUCCUUGGGUGGCGAGUGGCGGACGGGUGAGGAAUACAUCGGAAUCUACUCUGUCGUGGGGGAUAACGUAGGGAAACUUACGCUAAUACCGCAUACGACCUACGGGUGAAAGCAGGGGACCUUCGGGCCUUGCGCGAUUGAAUGAGCCGAUGUCGGAUUAGCUAGUUGGCGGGGUAAAGGCCCACCAAGGCGACGAUCCGUAGCUGGUCUGAGAGGAGGAGCAGCCACACUGGAACUGAGACACGGUCCAGACUCCUACGGGAGGCAGCAGUGGGGAAUAUUGGACAAUGGGCGCAAGCCUGAUCCAGCCAUACCGCGUGGGUGAAGAAGGCCUUCGGGUUGUAAAGCCCUUUUGUUGGGAAAGAAAUCCAGCUGGCUAAUACCCGGUUGGGAUGACGGCACCCAAAGAAUAAGCACCGGCUAACUUCGUGCCAGCCGCCGCCGUAA
rnacentral:rRNA from 1 species